AACGAACGCUGGCGGCGUGCUUAAGACAUGCAAGUCGGACGGUAAGGCCCCCUUCGGGGGGUACACGAGUGGCGCACGGGUGAGUAACGCGUGGGUAAUCUGCCCUCGGGUCUGGGACAACCCCGGGAAACUGGGGCUAAUACCGGAUAAGACCACGACGUCUUCGGACGACGGGGAAAAAGAUGGCCUCUCCUUGGAAGCUAUCGCCUGUUGAUGAGCCCGCGUCCCAUUAGCUUGUUGGUGAGGUAACGGCUCACCAAGGCUUCGAUGGGUAGCUGGUCUGAGAGGAUGAUCAGCCACACUGGAACUGAGACACGGUCCAGACUCCUACGGGAGGCAGCAGUCGGGAAUUUUGGGCAAUGGGGGAAACCCUGACCCAGCAACGCCGCGUGAGGGAUGAAGGCCCUCGGGUCGUAAACCUCUGUCGGGAGGGAAGAACGGGAUCCGUUCGAAUAGGGCGGGUCUCUGACGGUACCUCCAAAGGAAGCACCGGCUAACUCCGUG
rnacentral:rRNA from 1 species